GAGGCAGAGGUUUGUCGUUUUGAGGCGACGGUCUUGAAAACCGUUGUACCGAAAGGUACCGGGGGUUCGAAUCCCUCCUGCUCCG
rnacentral:tRNA from 1 species